GACGAACGCUGGCGGCGUGCCUAAUACAUGCAAGUAGGACGCAGUUGCGAACGGGUGAGUAACGCGUAGGUAACUGCCUAUGAGAGGGGGAUAACUAUUGGAAACGAUAGCUAAUACCGCAUACUAGUAGAUGGACCUGCGUUGUAUUAGCUAGUAGGUAGGGUAAUGGCCUACCUAGGCAACGAUACAUAGCCGGCCUGGGAGGGUGAACGGGCACACUGGGACUGGGGAAAGGGCCAGAAUCCUACGGGGGGCAGCAGUAGGGAAUCUUGGGCAAAGGGGGGAACCCUGACCGAGCAACGCCGGGGGAGUGGAGAAAGUUUUCGGAUCGUAAAGCUCUGUUGUUAAGGAAGCGGUACUUAACCAGAAAGGGACGGCUAACUACGUGCCAGCAGCCGCGGUAAUUC
rnacentral:rRNA from 1 species